rnacentral:rRNA from 1 species
GACGAACCGAGCGAACGUUGUUCGGAAUCACUGGGCUUAAAGGGCGCGUAGGCGGGCUGUCAAGUCUGGGGUGAAAUCCCGCGGCUCAACCGUGGAACUGCCUCAGAUACUGACGGCCUCGAGGGGGGUAGGGGCGAGCGGAACGGGUGGUGGAGCGGUGAAAUGCGUUGAUAUCACUCGGAACUCCGGUGGCGAAGGCGGCUCGCUGGACCUUUUCUGACGCUGAGGCGCGAAAGCUAGGGGAGCAAACGGG